GUAAGGCUAAAUACUCCCGAGAGACCGAUAGCGAACCAGUACCGUGAGGGAAAGGUGAAAAGCACUUCGAACAGAAGAGUGAAAUAGUUCCUGAAACCGUGCGCCUACAAGCGGUCGGAGCUCGUUAAUGAGUGACGGCGUGCCUUUUGCAUAAUGAACCUACGAGUUGCCUUUGCCGGCAAGGUUAAGUGUGACGACACACGUAUCCGAAGCGAAAGCGAGUCUGAACAGGGCGUAUAGUCGGCAGUGGCAGACGCGAAACCAAGUGAUCUACCCUUGGCCAGGUUGAAGGCUGGGUAACACCAGCUGGAGGACCGCACCAAUAAGCGUUGAAAAGCUUCUGGAUGAGCUGAGGGUAGGGGUGAAAGGCUAAUCAAACUUGGAGAUAGCUCGUACUCCCCGAAAUGCAUUUAGGUGCAGCCUUGCGGGUUACUGAUGUGAGGUAGAGCGACUGAUAAGAUGCGAGGGCUUCACCGCCUAUCAAGUCUUGACAAACUCCGAAUGCGCAUCAGUUCUACCGCAGGAGUGAGGGCAUGGGUGCUAAGGUCCGUGCCCGAGAGGAGAAGAAUCCGGACCACCUGCUAAGGUCCCGAAAUGACAGCUAAGUUAAACUAACGAAGUCUGACUGCUAAGACAGCUAGGAUGUUGGCUUGGAAGCAGCCAUUCAUUUAAAGAGUGCGUAACAGCUCACUAGUCGAGGAGUCGGGCGUGGAUAAUAAUCGGGUAUCAAGUUGUCUACCGAAGCAGUGGGAUCAUUGAUAUGAUCGGUAGGGGAGCAUUCCAGUCGGCGUCGAAGGCGUACCGUGAGGUAUUCUGGAGCGUCUGGAAAAGCAAAUGUAGGUAUAAGUAACGAUAAAGGGGGCGGGAAACCCCCUCGCCGAAAGACUAAGGUUUCCUGAUCAACGCUAAUCGGAUCAGGGUCAGUCGGGUCCUAAGGCUCAGCCGAACGGCGAUGCCGAUGGCAGAAACGGUUAAUAUUCCGUUACUACCUUCAGGAGUGACGUGGAGACGCAGUAGUGACAGUGCCGCCAUCUGACGGAAUAGAUGGUUGAAGGGUGUAGGAGUCGAUCAUGGCAGGCAAAUCCACCAUGAGAUCCGAACCUGAUAGUAUGCCGCGUCCUUCGGGACAAGGCAAUAGUGCGCGUAAGCAUGCUGCCGAGAAAAUCCGCUAAACUUAAUCCUGCAGGUACCCGUACCGCAAACGGACACACGUAGUCGGGAUGAAUAUUCUAAGGCGCUUGAGUGAUUCACGGUUAAGGAACUAGGCAAACUGACCCUGUAACUUCGGGAUAAAGGGUCCCUACCCUUUUAUGGGAGGGCGCAGAGAAUCGGUCCAGGCAACUGUUUAACAAAAACACAGGGCUGUGCCAAAUCGAAAGAUCCAGUAUACAGCCUGACACCUGCCCGGUGCUGGAAGGUUAAGAGGAGAUGUCAUCGAUAAGAGAAGCGUUGAAUUGAAGCCCCAGUAAACGGCGGCCGUAACUAUAACGGUCCUAAGGUAGCGAAAUUCCUUGUCGGGUAAGUUCCGACCUGCACGAAUGGUGUAAUGAUCUGGACGCUGUCUCAACCGUGAGCUCAGUGAAAUUGUAGUAUCGGUGAAGAUGCCGAUUACCCGCGAUGGGACGAAAAGACCCCGUGAACCUUUACUAUAGCUUAUCAUUGAAUCUGGGCACGUGAUGUGUAGGAUAGGUCGGAGGCUUUGAAGCAGGUACGCCAGUAUUUGUGGAGCCGCUGUUGAAAUACGACCCUUUAUUUGUUUGGAUUCUAACCCGUGGAACGGGGACAUUGAUUGGUGGGUAGUUUGACUGGGGUGGUCGCCUCCAAAAGCGUAACGGAGGCUUCUAAAGGUGCCCUCCGGCCGAUUGGUAACCGGCCUUAGAGUGUAAUGGCAUAAGGGCGCUUGACUGGGAGACUGACAAGUCGAUCAGGUAGGAAACUAGAGCAUAGUGAUCCGGUGUUUCCGUAUGGAAGGGACAUCGCUCAAAGGAUAAAAGGUACUCCGGGGAUAACAGGCUGAUCCCUCCCAAGAGCUCAUAUCGACGGAGUGGUUUGGCACCUCGAUGUCGGCUCGUCACAUCCUGGGGCUGGAGAAGGUCCCAAG
rnacentral:rRNA from 1 species